GGGAAGGUGGCUCAGUGGUAGAGUGCUUUCCUUGCAUGCAUGAGGCCCUGGGUUCGA
rnacentral:tRNA from 1 species